rnacentral:rRNA from 1 species
GACGAAGGGGCUAGCGUUGUUCGGAAUUACUGGGCGUAAAGCGCGCGUAGGCGGCUCUUCAAGUCAGGCGUGAAAGCCCCGGGCUUAACCCGGGAAUAGCGCUUGAUACUGUUGGGCUUGAGUCCGGGAGAGGAUAGUGGAAUUCCCAGUGUAGAGGUGAAAUUCGUAGAUAUUGGGAAGAACACCAGUGGCGAAGGCGGCUAUCUGGACCGGAACUGACGCUGAGGCGCGAAAGCGUGGGGAGCGAACAGG